rnacentral:rRNA from 1 species
UACGGGGGGGGCAAGCGUUGUUCGGAAUUACUGGGCGUAAAGGGCUCGUAGGCGGCCAACUAAGUCAGACGUGAAAUCCCCAGGCUCAACCUGGGAACUGCGUCUGAUACUGGAUGGCUUGAAUCCGGGAGAGGGAUGCAGAAUUCCAGGUGUAGCGGUGAAAAUGCGUAGAGAUGUGGAGGAACACCAGUGGCGAAGGCGACUCCUUGGUCUGUAACUGACGCUGAGGUGCGAAAGCGUGGGGAGCAAACAGG